GACAUUCAGAUUUAUUGUUAACUUGCCAAUGAACUUCCCACAGACAAGAAUCAAAGCCAGAAGAACAAAACAGCCCCAGAUGUGUUCUACUCUAUUAUCCGAAGUAAAUGAAAAUCAACCCUGAGGUAGAGAACCUCCUUCUACUACCAUCAAAGUCCUUGAUCUGUUUCCCAACAUGAAUUAACCUUUCCAUGUUUUCGUUACAUUUGAACAUCAGGAAUGUGUAGACGGAAGCAGUUCAUCCUGGGAGUGAGGUUGGCUGUGUCACUUGUUCAAGGAAAGAGAAUGUGAACAGAAGGAAUACGUGUGUCCUCCAGGACUGAACUUAAAAAUUUGCCACACCUACUCCCCAAGAUUCCUUCUCCAACUGCCCAGUAGAUAGAUAUACUCAAGGUGACAUUGAAGAUGAGAGUGAUCUGUUGGUCCAGGUCAUGAGUGGCUGGUGGAACUUCAGCCCUGAUCACCCUCAUCCUUAGACAACACGUGAGAAAGGAACUGCUCCUGACUUCAAGCAGUAGAAUGAGGCCAACCUGCAAAAUUGACCUGUCAUGCCCUGCCUCACCAUCUUAUCCAGUCCUGGACUCAACCAGCUGAACUAAUCCCUAAACCACCAAGUCUACCUUAGAAAAACAGUUCUGGAGGCUGCAAGUCCAAGAUCAAGGUGUCACCAUCAUUGGUUGCUUCUGGGGGCUGUUGAGAAAGAACGUGUUCCAUGCCUCCCACCUAGCAUCUAAAGGAAGCCAAGUUUCUGUCAGCAUCCCAACCUCAUUUCCAAACUGUCAAUAAUUGUGAAGGGUCUGAGAUUUUACUCUACCUGCAAGUUAAACAGCUAGACUGCCACAAUUUCAUGGAUGCUGGCAGAAGACGUGAGACUCCUGGGUCAGAGAAAGAGAACUUCACUGACUCACACAACUAUAGCACCUGACCAAGGGCCUACCACAGACCACCCUCUUCCAUCGUAUGCCUUCUUUUAACCUAACCUGGGACAGAGCUGGGAAGUCUUUGCCUUGGCGUGGCUGGAAAUAUCAGGGAGAAGAAAUUUGGAAGAAAGAAGUGACAUCUUAUUGAUGAGUUGUGGAGAAGCUGCUGAACAUGCAUCUGUGUUUGGGAGACUGUCUGCAGAGAGUACAUAUUCUCAGCUCCUACAAGCUAUAAAGCACUUAGGAUCCAUUGUGUCAGAGCGUAUGACAGGGACCAUCAACUCAACAUUUCCUACUAAAUACGGGCACAAUGAUGACCUUGAUAAGAACCGUUUGAGUGGAGUAAACACUGACUGCAGUGAGUUGAAGAGAAAAUAAGAGGUGGAAAAAAUACAGAUACAUACCGGAUAAGAUUUUACAAUACCUCAAAGGCUUAUUUCUGAAGGUAGUCAACUGAGGACUGUCCUAUAAAAAUUAAGGGGCAGAUUCACUGUGAGACAAAGCUAUCUCCAAGUAAUCUCAAGCAAAAUCAGAAGUGAAAAAAAAGUAGAAAUGAGGGCUGGCAUAGAAGGUCCUACACCCCAUCCUCCAUUCUUUGAGCACCCUAUCCUCCCUCCAUUCUCUCCUCAUUCUUUGAGAAGACAGUGUGGCAGUCCUCCCAGAACAAUUAUCUCUGUUUCUGGGCAGAUUCAGAGCUAUUGCUGGCUGGAAAACACCCACAUAAUGAAUGCACCAUACCUGCUCCCAGGACUGGGCUUGCAAGACCCUACAGAGGUGGCCUUUCAGUUGCAUUAUAAUUCAGGCCCUAGGCACAGUGCUUGUUCCCCAGUGAGUUUGCUAGUAAAACAAUCAUUUCCCUGGUCCACUCCUACCUUGUAGACAUCCAGCUCUCCACACUGCUGGUCGAAGCGAGUGUACAGUGCAUUGAGCAUGGUGAUGACCUGCAGCGGUGAGCACUGGGAGCAGAUGGCAGUGAACCCAACGAUGUCUGAGAAGAGCAUGGUGACAUUACUGAACUUCUUGGCUUGCACAACUUGCCCUUGCCACAGCUGCUGAGCAACCUCACAGGGAAAUAUGGAGCACAGAAGAUCUACUGUCUUUUUCUUCUCCUCCUCCAGGGCUUGGUGGGCUUGCUCAAGGGUAGCCUUCAGCUUCCCCAGCCUCUUCUUCAGGCCAUCUUGAGCUCGGGCUUGUUCCCCUAUUAAGACCACAUCCCUCAGUGCAUUGUGAAUUGGGAUGUCUGAGAGGUAGAGCCCUCGUCCUGUAAAAUCUUCUAAUCUGUCCACACAGGGUGACCCCAAAAACAAGAUUGCACUGGAUUCAACAAUGUAGAUCAUUUGGCCUUUGAGGUCCAUAACCUAUGAAGGAAAGGAUAACCAAUUGUGGUUUAUUCAAGUUUCCCACAUCUUUCUGAGACAAAAGAAGGGGAAGUAGAUACAGUAAUAAACCCUUUGUGUUUAAACCUGCUGAAAA